rnacentral:rRNA from 1 species
GACGAGGGGUCCUAGCGUUGUUCGGAAUCACUGGGCGUAAAGAGUUCGUAGGCGGCUCCAUAAGUCGGGUGUGAAACCCCACGGCUCAACCGUGGAAGUGCAUUCGAAACUGCGGAGCUUGAAUAUGGUAGAGGAGAGUAGAAUUGCUGGUGUAGUGGUGAAAUACGUAGAUAUCAGCAGGAAUACCGGUGGCGAAGGCGGCUCUCUGGACCAAUAUUGACGCUGAGGAACGAAAGUGCGGGGAUCAAACAGG